UAAACACUGUGUUUGGGGACUCCUGAGCGUUUGAGGCCAUCACAUCAAAGAGCGCAAUCUCUUGUCACGGCGACCGACGCCGUGACCUCUGACCCCGGCGGGCGCAGAGUGGGACGAAGGAGAGUCUGGAAUGAUGCAAGUGGUCCACCAUCGUCCAGCCAAUGAGGACUCAGCAUGAGGUGUGAACUAAAAUCACGUCGACAUAGCUAACUGGAUAAAGUCAGCAACAAUCAAAGUGCUUCUGGAAGAUUGGAGCGCCAACCCAGAGGCAUCACACUGCGGUCCCAGUGACCAACACCUGAUUCAAGUGGGAAGAAACGGCGAAACUGCACCUACCCGUUGUGUUUACUGCAGU